GAUGAAGAACGUAGCGAAAUGCGAUAAGUAAUGUGAAUUGCAGAAUUCAGUGAAUCAUCGAAUCUUUGAACGCACAUUGCGCCCGCCAGUAUUCUGGCGGGCAUGCCUGUUCGAGCGUCAUUUCAACCAUCAAGCCCCAGGCUUGUGUUGGGGGCCUGCAGCUGCUGCAGCCCCCUAAAAGCAGUGGCGGACUCGUUGUCAUACCGAGCGCAGUAGUUACAUCUCGCUCUGGGCAUGGCGGCGGGCACCUGCCGUAAAACACUCUUUCUAAGGUUGACCUCGGAUCAGGUAGGAAUACCCGCUGAACUUAAGCAUAUCAAUAAGCGGAGGA
rnacentral:misc_RNA from 1 species